ACAUUUAUCACAUUGGAAACAAUUUGUAGAUUGGCACUGAAGUAUGGACUGCACUUCGAGUAGCUCCAACCUAGACUGUCGAAUCAAGGUCGUCCUGGAGGAAAUGAUUUUUGCUUAGUGUUCUGUGAUGAAUCUGUGAUCACUAUGACCAUCAUAGAUCACCGUGAUCUAUAUGAAAGAGCAAAUAGGCAAAAUUGAGAUGGGAAGGUGAAUUCCAGGUAAAGAGAAUCCAGGAGAAGAGGAGUGUGGCUGGAACAUGCAGGUUCACUGGAGCACUGCAAAUUAGACUGACAAAAGACAGAUUAUCGGGAGAAAAAAAUACAAAGAAGCUAAUAGGCCGAAGAGCUUAUAUACCAUUUUAAACAAAGAAUGAUAAACUGUGGACACUUGACAGGAAAAAAAAAAAAAGGGUUUGAGGCUUUCCAGAGCAGUCCACUACGGGAAGCUCUCACUCUGGACGAUUAAACACCAAUACCACCAACCUGAGUAGGCCUUCCAGGAAAUACCGGGGACACUAAGAAGC
rnacentral:lncRNA from 1 species